CAAAGAGCAGCACUGAGCAGAAAUAACACUGCUCCUGUUCAUUCUCCAUCAGUGAGGGGCCGGUGCUGGACACUGUGUAGGGACGCGGGAAUGCAAAGUCAUACACAUGACUGUGACUGAUGCACUAUCUCCAGGACAUGGAGUAGCAUUUCCGGACCUACAGCAAGACGUUGGAUGAAGGCAUAGCCCCAGAAAUAACACUGGUCCUGUUCAUCAGUGAGGGGCCGGUGCUGGACACUGUGUAGGGACACGGGAAUGCAAAGUCAUGCACAUGACUGUGACUGAUGCACUAUUUCCAGGACAUGGAGUAGCAUUUCGGGACCUACAGCAAGACGUUGGAUGAAGGCACAGGCCUAGGAAUCAUGCACAUACACAGAAA